rnacentral:tRNA from 1 species
GGUGAGGUGGCCGAGUGGUUAAAGGCAGCAGACUGUAAAUCUGCCGGCGUAAUGCCUACGUAGGUUCGAAUCCUGCCCUCACCA